GUAGUACUCCCUCCGUCCGGAAAUACUUGUCAUCAAAAUGAAUAAAAGGGGAUGUAUCUAGAUGUAUAUUAGUUCUAGAUACAUCUUUUUUAUCCAUUUGAUGACAAGUAUUUUCGGAUGGAGGGAUUACUUG
rnacentral:pre_miRNA from 1 species